rnacentral:tRNA from 1 species
GUCUGGAUAGUUUAUUUAGAAUAAUAAUUUGUGGUGUUAUUGGUGUAGGUUAUACUCUAGAUC